GUACGUAGGGGCCAAGGCCAGUUGUUCCGGAUUUCGAUUUGGGCGUAAAAGAGCUCGUAGGUGGUUCGGCAAGUCAGUUGUGAAAUCUCCGCGCUCAACGCGGAGGGGUCAGCUGAAACUGCUGUGACUUGAGUCUGGUAGGGGAGUGUGGAAUUCCCGGUGUAGCGGUGGAAUGCGCAGAUAGUCAGGAAGAACACCAACGGCGAAGGCAGCUCGCUGGGACGGUGCUGACGACUGGAGACGCGAAAGCGUGGGGAGCGAACAGG
rnacentral:rRNA from 1 species